UACGUAGGUGGCAAGCGUUGUCCGGAAUUAUUGGGCGUAAAGCGCGCGCAGACGGUCCUUUAAGUCUGAUGUGAAAGCCCACGGCUCAACCGUGGAGGGUCAUUGGAAACUGGAGGACUUGAGUACAGAAGAGGAAAGUGGAAUUCCACGUGUAGCGGUGAAAUGCGUAGAGAUGUGGAGGAACACCAGUGGCGAAGGCGACUUUCUGGUCUGUAACUGACGUUGAGGCGCGAAAGCGUGGGGAGCAAACAGG
rnacentral:rRNA from 1 species